rfam:Paramecium tetraurelia chromosome undetermined scaffold_81, whole genome shotgun sequence.
GCUGAUGUAGCUCAGUCGGCAGAGCGGUUGGCUGUUAACCAACAGGUCGAAGGUUCAAACCCUUCCAUUAGCG